rnacentral:lncRNA from 1 species
ACGUGAAACAGUCUUGAAUGAGAUAUAUUAAUUGGGUUUAUAAUAUCUCUAGAUAUUUUUAAGACAACAUUUAAUACGUGGGUGUCUACUAGCUAUUUCUCUUAAAUGUUGAAACCUUUCUUGAUCUAUUCCCAAACCCAACCUAGAAUCAUCAAAAACAUAGCUUCCAACUGUUAGAUGUAUGCUCUAGAAGCCAAUCGAGCUGACAUAUUAAUUCUUUCUAAGAUAUAAUUUCAUACUUGAUCUAAUUAAUUAGGGUAAUUAAUUUUUAUUCAUAUAGUGUAUGUGUCUAU